UACGUAGGCAGCAAGCGUUGUUCGGAAUUACUGGGCGUAAAGCGCGUGUAGGCGGCUAUGCAAGUCGGGUGUGAAAGCCCUCAGCUUAACUGAGGAAGUGCGCCCGAAACUGCAAAGCUUGAGUACCGGAGAGGAUGGCGGAAUUCCCCAAGUAGAGGUGAAAUUCGUAGAUAUGGGGAGGAACACCGGUGGCGAAGGCGGCCAUCUGGACGGAUACUGACGCUGAGACGCGAAAGCGUGGGUAGCAAACAGG
rnacentral:rRNA from 1 species